AUCCCACCCGUCAUUGAACCAUACCCCCUCUCCCGCUGACGCCCGGACCCGAGCCGGUGUCCACCUCCAUGGCGGAGUCCGGCCCGAGCACCGCCUUCCUGUGUAGCCCCGCGCCGCCUCUCGAUCCCUACAGAAAUGGAGGCGCUCCCGCGCCUCGACCCGAGUUCGCAGCCCUCGAAACCCGUCGAAUCCGAGCUCCAAUUCUUUGCGGUGCCGCCGCCGCCGCCACAGCUCCGGUCGAGCCCAGUCGACGCCAGAGACCACCACUGCCGUCUCCGAGGAGGGCAACGGAACUGCCAAGUCAAGCCGAGCCUCUCGAAUUCGAGACUGAGUACUCGUCGGCGCCGCCACAGCUUCGACAGAGCCCAGCCGACGCCAGAGAACACCACCGACGUCUCCCAGGAGAGAAACGGAACCGCCGACUCAAGGAAAAUCUCUUGGACGCCUUCCCGAGGAGCAAGGAUCACCGGAGCCAGCUCAGCGACAAGCCCCAAAGCCGCCGGCGCCGCCUGAACGCAUCUGAACCAAUAGAUCAAAACAUUCCACAUAUAUGUCGUUGAGAAAGUUGCACAGCAUCUUGGUAUGGAUGAUCCCUUCAAAACUUCGCCUUACAAAGCACAUACAGCAUUUACAGCAACCAGAUGUCUGACAUUUUAUAUUAUGAGACACUGACAUUCCUUUGCCAGAACUGCAAGGUCUGAUAACAUUGAGUUGCUUUUCACCAAGCUACACACAAUGAGGUGCUGUUUCAUGUUAUAUGAUUGCCAAAAAGCAGUACGUUUUCUGAUUUGAUUGACAACUUAAAAUCAAAGGUUGAGCUAUCUCAAAGUGAUGCUGGACUUAGCUAUUUCAGGUCAACAAUAACAAGAUAUGGAAGGUGUACCAGCCAACUGAGAAAAUAGAUGCAGUUCAUGAUCCAAACCUCUUCAUGUUGAGGAGGUAUGCAAAAUUAACACAAAUACUGUUUACAGUCUCCUAGAAGCUUUAAAGGCUUAACCUCGGGCCAUUUACUCCUAUUACAAAUCCAUUCCUUAUUUUCUUGCUUGGUUUGAUAACAGAGUGACAUGGUCCAUGUCCAUCUCAUGCAUUAUAAGCACUUCAUGUAAUUACCCAUUCCCCGAAUACGCUAGUCCUCGUCUCCUUUCCCGUAUUUCUCUUAGUCUCACUCCCAAACACUUCACGAUCCGGCAGAGGGAAUGCCAACAACCAUGGUGGCAUUGUCCCCUUCGGUCGUUCAUGCCACUGGAGAGGAUGAAGGCUCUAGCAACAUCGUGCGAAAGGCAUCGGCGCUAGCGAGUUUGCCACCAUCCUAGCCACGACGAUAAUGCCGCUGAGCAUAUAGUGGAGGGUAGAGUAGGAAAGUGGAGCGACGACGCCGCGGGAGGAGGUGCAUUCGAACGGGGGCACUGCAGUCUGUUUCUUCUUCCGGGCGAGUGGCAGGCAUAAAGACAAGACUUCCAACAAAAUGUAUAAAGCGUUGGAUCAGGCAACGGGUCAACAUCGGUAGCAGGGAGGUGAACAUUAAGCUCCAUGGGAGUCUCAAGAGUGCGCUCAUCAGUAAGAGCAACACGAGCAAGAAGAUCAUGGAUUAUUUUUGAGCAAGGGACCUCAAUCCCAAGAAUUUAGUGAGGAGGGCCAAGAUAAGACAUAACCAAUUGCUAACUAAGAUGUGCCUUCACAAAGGUAAUAUACUCAUGGUCUUCCCCCGGUGAUGAUCAUGUCAUCAACAGAUAGAAGAGUCCUACCAAGAGCAGAAAGGUGGACAAACAACGUAGGAUCAUGAGCACUUGUUGAAAACUAGUGGCAGCCACCAUAGAGGCAAAAUGCUCAAACCAGGCGUGAGGGCUUGCUUAAAGCUAUAGGGAGAGGGAUGAAGAUGACAAAGCAUGUCGUCGGGAGCAGAAUAUCCAGGUGGUUGCUGCAUGUAAACCUCCUCAUGCAGCUCAUCAUUAAGAAAGGCUUUCUUAAUAACAAGACGAGACACAGACCAAUGGAGGCAUUCUUAACAUCAAGCCGAGACAUAGACCAGUGGCGAAUAGAGGCCACAAUAAGAAGUGUGCGACAUUGGUUAGACAAUUUGCGAGAGAAAGUCUCGUCAUAAUCAGGACCAUGCUCUUUCUGAAAGCCACGAGCCACAAGACGAGCUUUGUAAGGCUCAAGGGAACCAUCAGAGUGAGUCUUAACCUUGUAGACCCAAGUGAUGGGACGAACACGAGGAGGAGCAAAAACAAUACCCCACGUGCCGAUGCGCUCAAGAGCAGCAGUCUCCUCUGCCAUCGCAAUAUGCCAUCUGGUAUGAACAACAUCACUAUAAGAAGUCGGCUCAAGAACAACAACGCCAACACUUGGAAGACCACGGUGGUCAACAGGCCAAAGCAGACGAGGACGCAAGCCAUAAGUAGGCUAAGACGGGGAAGAUGGCACAUCAGUAGACACAUCCACAACACGCAGGUGACGUGUAUAUAAGACAUAAGUUAGGAAAAGAUAAAAGAAUACGAGCAAGAAUGAUCGGAAUAAACUCAGGUGAUGGAGGAGCAGUCUCCUCUGCCAUCGCAAUAUGCCAUCUGGUAUGAACAACAUCACUAUAAGAAGCCAGCUCAAGAACAACAACGCCAACACUUGGAAGACCACGGUGGUCAACAGGCCAAAGCAGACGAGGACGCAAGCCAUAAGUAGGCCGAGACGGGGAAGAUGGCACAUCAGUAGACGCAUCCACAACACGCAGGUGACGUGUAUAUAAGACAUAAGUUAGGAAAAGAUAAAAGAAUAUGAGCAGGAGCAAGAAGAUCCUGCAUUAUUAAUUUUGAGCAAGAAGAGACCUAAAACCCAAGAAAGUAGCAAAGAGGGCCAAGAUCGGACAUAUGAAACUCCUUACUAAGACGUGCUGUCACAAAGGCAAUAUACUCAGGGUCUUUGUCGGUGAUGAUCAUAUCAUCAACAUAUAGAAGAAGACUACUACCAAGAGCAAAAAAGUGGACAAACAACGUAGGAUCAGGAGCACUUGUUGAAAACCAGCGGCAACCACCCUACAGGCAAAACACUCAAACUAGGCUUGAGGGGCUUGCUUAAAGCCAUAGAGAGAGCGAUGAAGAUGACGAAGCAUGUCGUCAGGAGCAGAGUGGUGGUUGCAUGUAAUCCGCCUCUUGUAGUUCACCAUUAAGAAAGGCAUUUUUAACAUCAAGCCGAGACAGACCCAUGGUCAACAGAGGCCACAAGAAGUGUGCGAGCAGUGGUCAUAUGGUUUGCACGAGCAAAAAGCCUCAUAGUAAUCAGGACUGUAAUCAGGACCAUGCUCCUGCUGAAAGCUACGAUCCACAAGACAAGCUUUGUAAUGCUCAAGAGAACCAUUAGAGCGAGUCAUAACAUUGUAGACCCACCAAGUGAUGGGACGAACACGAGAAAGAGAAAUAAUAUCCCACUUGACGAUGCGCUCAAGAGCAGCAAUCUCCUCCGCCAUCGCAAUGUGUCACUUGGUAUGAACAACAUCAUGAUAAGAAGUCGGCUCAAGAACAAUAGCGCCAGCGCUUGAAGACCAAGGCGGUCAACAGGUGGAAGCAGAUGAGGAAGCAAGCCAUAAGUAGGCCGAGACAGGGAAGAUGGCACAUCAGUAGACACAUCCACAACAUGCGGACGAUGUGUAUAAAAGUGAGGAAAACAUGAAAGAAUACGUGUUGGAAUCACCGGGAUAAACUAAGGUCAUGGAGACAACAAGGAAGCCACCGGUGAUGAUGUUGUAGAAUCCCGUGAUAAGCUAGGUGAGGAAAUCAUAGGAGAUGAUGGCAUUGGAUCUGCAAUAAUUGGAGAAGCAGGAGCAGUACGACGAAUGGAAUUGGGCCCAACAAGAGUGAUAGGAGUGUCGGGGAAAUUAUGGAAAGACUCCACUGAAAACGUCGAGGAAGAUGGACGAGGCUGAUAGAGUCGAGACUCAUUAGAAGCUAUAUCUUGAGAAAUAGAAGACCUACAUGAUCCCAAUAGUGAUAUCCCUUAUACUCAUCGUUGUAUCCUAAGAAGACACACGAAACGGACUGAGCAGUCAGUUUGGUGCGUUCACGUGGGGCAAGGACAUAGCAAACACAACCAAACAAUUGAAGCGCCGAAUAAUCGGGAAACGAUCGAAUAGAUGCUCGAAAGUAUGCUCGAAAGUAGUGCCACCCUGCAGAGGACUUGCUGAAGGUUGAUGAGAUAGAUGGAAGUGGAGACAGACUCAGCCCAAAAGUGCGAGGGAAUAUAGGCAGUGACCAUCAACGGACGAGCCGUCUCAAGAAGGUGACAAUGCUUGCGCUCGGCCACGCCAUUCUGAGCAUGUGCGCAAGGAUAAGAGAACCGAAUGCAAGAGUACCCUGCUCAGCAAGGAUUCCACGCAACAGCUUGGGAGAUAUACUCCCCGCCAGAGUCAUCACAAAACACACAAAUAGUCGUAUAGAAUUGAGUUUGAACCAUGACAGCAAAACCCUUAUAGAUAAGAUCUCCCUACGAGAAGAAAUAAAGUAUAUAUCCAAGUGAUGACCUCCUUUGGAGGCAAAGGGAGAUGGACCACCGACAUCGGAGUGGACAAGGUCGAAAGGUGGCUGAGACACUGUCUUGCUAUGAGUAUAAGGUAAUUGGACCUGUUUACCAAGCCGACAACCUUGACGGUUUAGAGACAUCGUCGGAUACGAAUCGAAGAAGACCAUGUCAAACUAAGGAUGAGGGAUCACAAGUGACCCAAGGCGAUGAUGCCACUGCUAAAAAUAAUAAUUGGUAGACAAGGCAACAGAGGUAGAGACUGGCGAUGGUGGAAGCAGAGGGACUUGAUCCAACAUCCCACGUGCCUGUGCACUCUCCGUACCUUGCUGAUCCGGAUUGGUGUUCUUCUCUUGUUUGCGGGUUGUGGGACACGCACUUAAUUAAGCACCCCAGGUUCUCCUACUGUGUGCGCUUGGCCCCGGCUUUAGGUAGCGCCUGUCGUCGGCUCGUCUCGUUCAUAAUCCAGGUACGCGUCGACUGUCCGAGCUCCUGCUCACCAUUGGUGAUGCUCGAGCGUGCGGUUAUGGUGUCGCACAACCAGGGAACACGGGAUGUGGGAUUGAGACAGAGCCCAUAGCAACCCGCAGCAAGGCAAAGGAUGCCCAUCCAGAAUGACACGGAGAGGAGGUGGACACAAUGGUGGAUGUUGACUUCAUAGGAGUCUCAAGUAAGAGCAGCACGAGCAAGAAGAUCUCAAGGAAGUAGCGAAGAGGAUGAAGAACUAUGACGAAGAAAUAAGAAAUUCACUAUGACAAGCCUUCACAGAGGCAAUGUACUUAGAGUCAUCGCCAGUAAUGAUCGACAUGUAGAAGUGUUCGACCACAAGUUGAAUGGUGGACCGAAAGCGCAGGAAAUAAAGAAGCCAUUAGAGGUAGAAGAAACCUCAAGCUCAAGGAAGUAGCGAAGAGGACGAAGAUCAUACAUAAAAAAUUAACUAUGACGAGCCUUCACAAAGGCAAUGUACUUGAGUCGUCACCAGUGAUGACCGACAUGUAGAAGUGUUCGACCACAAGGAAUGGUGGACGGAAAGUGCAGGAUAAUGAGCACUCGCCAAAAACGAGCCACAAUCACAAUUGAGGGGAGGCGCUCAAACCAGGCACGAGGGGUUUGCUUAGGGCCAUAUGGAGAGUGAUGAAGACAACAAACCAUGCCAUUAGGAAGAGAACCCAGGUGGUGGCUACGUGUAGGCAUUCUUGACAUCAAGAGAGACAAACCAUCGGUGAAUAGAAGCCACAUUGAGAAAUGUGCGAAGAGUGGUCAUGUGGGGCAUAUAGGAGCAAAUGUCAUCGUAGUCAUGACCAUGUUCUCACCACUAGACAAGCUUUGUAACGCUCAAGAGAAUCACCGGUCUUAACCUUGUAGAGCCACUUACAAGUGAUGAGACAAGCACGAGGAGGGAAAUGAGAUUUGACGUGCCGAUGCGGGCAAGAGCAUCAACCUUCGAUGCCAUCACAUGCAGCCAUUCGGGAUGAACAACCUUACGAUAAGAUGGCACAUCAGUAGACACAUCCACAACAUGCGGACGAUGUGUAUAAAAGUGAGGAAAACAUGGAAGAAUACGUGUUGGAAUCACCGGGAUAAACUAAGGUCGUGGAGACAACAAGGAAGCCACCGGUGAUGAUGUUGUAGAAUCCCGUGAUAAGCUAGGUGAGGAAAUCAUAGGAGAUGAUGGCAUUGGAUCUGCAAUAAUCGGAGAAGCAGGAGCAGUACGACGAAUGGAAUUGGGCCCAACAAGAGUGAUAGGAGUGUCGGGGAAAUUAUGGAAAGACUCCACUGAAAACGUCGAGGAAGAUGGACGAGGCUGAUAGAGUCGAGACUCAUUAGAAGCUAUAUCUUGAGAAAUAGAAGACCUACAUGAUCCCAAUAGUGAUAUCCCUUAUACUCAUCGUUGUAUCCUAAGAAGACACACGAAACGGACUGAGCAGUCAGUUUGGUGCGUUCACGUGGGGCAAGGACAUAGCAAACACAACCAAACAAUUGAAGCGCCGAAUAAUCGGGAAACGAUCGAAUAGAUGCUCGAAAGUAUGCUCGAAAGUAGUGCCACCCUGCAGAGGACUUGCUGAAGGUUGAUGAGAUAGAUGGAAGUGGAGACAGACUCAGCCCAAAAGUGCGAGGGAAUAUAGGCAGUGACCAUCAACGGACGAGCCGUCUCAAGAAGGUGACAAUGCUUGCGCUCGGCCACGCCAUUCUGAGCAUGUGCGCAAGGAUAAGAGAACCGAAUGCAAGAGUACCCUGCUCAGCAAGGAUUCCAUGCAACAGCUUGGGAGAUAUAGUCUCCGCUAGAGUCAUCACAAAACACACGAAUAGUCGUAUAGAAUUGAGUAUGAACCAUGACAGCAAAAACCCUUAUAGAUAAGAUCUCCCUACGAGAAGAAAUAAAGUAUAUAUCCAAGUGAUGACCUCCUUUGGAGGCAAAGGGAUAUGGACCACCGACAUCGGAGUGAACAAGGUCGAAAGGUGGCUGAGACACUGUCUUGCUAUGAGUAUAAGGUAAUUGGACCUGUUUACCAAGCCGACAACCUUGACGGUUUAGAGACAUCGUUGGAUACGAAUCCAAGAAGACCAUGUCAAACUAAGGAUGAGAGAUCACAAGUGACCCAAGGCGAUGAUGCCACUGCUAAAAAUAAUAAUUGGUAGACAAGGCAACAGAGGGACUUGAUCCAGCAUCCCACGUGCCUAUGGACUCUCCGUACCCUGCCGAUCCGGAUUGGUGUUCUUCUCUUGUUUGCGGGUUGUGGGACACGCACUUGAUUAAGCACCCCAGGUUCUUCUGCUGUGUGCGCUUGGCCCCGGCUUUAGGUAGCGCCUGUCGUCGGCUCGUCUCGUUCAUAAUCCAGGUACGCGUCGACUGUCCGAGCUCCUGCUCACCAUUGGUGAUGCUCGAGCGUGCGGUUAUGCUGUCGCACAACCAGGGAACACGGGAUGUGGGAUUGAGACAGAGCCCAUAGCAACCCACAACAAGGCAAAGGAUGCCCAUCUAGAAUGACACGGAGCGGAGGUGGACACAAUGGUGGAUGUUGACUUCAUAGGAGUCUCAAGUAAGAGCAGCACGAGCAAGAAGAUCUCAAGGAAGUAGCGAAGAGGAUGAAGAACUAUGAUGAAGAAAUAAGAAAUUCACUAUGACAAGCCUUCACAGAGGCAAUGUACUUAAGAGUCAUCGCCAGUAUUGAUCGACAUGUAGAAGUGUUCGAGCACAAGUUGAAUGGUGGACCGAAAGUGCAAGAAAUAAAGAAGCCAUUAGAGGUAGAAGAAACCUCAAGCUCAAGGAAGUAGUGAAGAGGACCAAGAUCAUACAUAUGAAAUUAACUAUGAUGAGCCUUCACAAAGGCAAUGUACUUGAGUCGUCACCAGUGAUGAUCGACAUGUAGAAGUGUUCGACCACAAGUUGAAUGGUGGACCGAAAGUGCAGGAUCAUGAGCACUCGCCAAAGACCAGCCACAAUCACAAUUGAGGGGAAGUGCUCAAACCAGGCACGAGGUGUUUGCUUAGGUCCAUAUGGAGAGUGAUGAAGACAACAAACCACUCCAUCAGGAAGAGAACCCAGGUGGUGGCCAUUCUUGACAUCAAGAGAGACAAACCAUCGACGGAUAGAAGCCACAUUGUGAAGUGUGUGAAGAGUGGUCAUGUGGGGCAUAUAGGAGCAAAUGUCUCAUCGUAGUCAUGGCCAUGUUCUCACCACUAGACAAGCUUUGUAACGCUCAAGAGAAACACCGGUCUUAACCUUGUAGACCCACUUACAAGUGAUGAGACGGGCACGAGGAAGGAAAUUCACGUGUCGAUGCGGGCAAGAGCAUUAAGCUUCGAUGCCAUCACAUGCAGCCAUUCGGGAUGAACAACCUUACGAUAAGAUGGCACAUCAGUAGACACAUCCACAACAUGCGGAUGAUGUGUAUAAAAGUGAGGAAAAAAUGGAAGAAUACGUGCUGGAAUCAUCGGGGUAAACUAAGGUCACGGAGACAACAAGGAAGCCACCGGUGAUGAUGUUGUAGAAUCCCGUGAUAAGCGAGGUGAGGAAAUCAUAGGAGAUGAUGGCAUUGGAUCUGCAAUAAUCGGAGAAGCAGGAGCAGUACGACGAAUGGAUUUGGGCCCAACAGGAGUGAUAGGAGUGUCGGGAAAAUUAUGGAAAGACUCCACUUAAAAAGUCGAGGAAGAUGGACGAGGCUGAUAGGGUCGAGACUCAUUAGAAGUUAUAUCCUGAGAAAUAGACGACCUACAUGAUCCCAAUAGCGAUAUCCCUUAUGCUCAUCGUUGUAUCCUAAAAAGACACACGCAACGGACUGAGCAGUCAGUUUGGUGCGCUCACAUGGGGCAAGGACAUAGCAAACACAACCAAACAAUUGAAGCGCCGAAUAAUCGGGAAACGAUCGAAUAGAUGCCCGAAAGUAGUGCCACCUUGCAGAGGACUUGCUGAAGGUUGAUGAGAUAGAUGGAAGUGGAGACAGACUCAGCCCAAAAGUGCGAGGGAAUAUAGGCAGUGACCAUCAACGGACGAGCCGUCUCAAGAAGUUGACGAUGCUUGUGCUCGGUCACGCCAUUCUGAGCAUGUGCGCAAGGAUAAGAGAAACGAAUGCAAGAGUACCCUGCUCAGCAAGGAUUCCACGCAACAGCUUGGGAGAUAUACUCUCCACCAGAGUCAUCACAGAACACACGAAUAGGCGUAUAGAAUUGAGUAUGAACCAUGACUGCAAAACCCUUAUAGAUAAGAUCUCACUACGAGAAGAAAUAAAGUAUAUAUCCAAGUGAUGGCCUCCUUUGGAGGCAAAGGGAGAUGGACGACCGACAUCAGAGUGAACAAGGUUGAAAGGUGGCUGAGACACUGUCUUGCUAUGAGUAUAAGGUAAUUGGACCCGUUUACCAAGCCGACAAGCUUGACAGUUUAGAGACAUCGUCGGAUACGAAUCCAAGAAGACCACGUCAAACUAAGGAUGAGAGAUCACAAGUGACCCAAGGUGAUGAUGCCACUGCUAAAAAUAAUAAUUGGUAGACAAGGCAACAGAGGCAGAGACUGGCGACGGUGGCAGCAGAGGGACUUGAUCCAGCAUCCCACGUGCCUGUGCACUCUCCGUACCCUGCCGAUCCGGAUUGGUGUUCUUCUCCUGUUUGCGGGUUGUGGGACACGCACUUGAUUAAGCACCCCAGGUUCUCCUACUGUGUGCCUUGGCCCCGGCUUUAGGUAGUGCCUGUCGUUGGCUCGUCCCGUGCAUAAUCCAGGUACGCGUCGACUGUCUGAGCUCCUGCUCACCAUUGGUGGUGCUUGAGCGUGUUGUUAUGGUGUCGCACAACAAGGGAACACGGGAUGUGGGAUUGGGACAGAACCCAGAGCAAUCCGCAGCAAGGCAAUGGAUGCCCAUCCAGACUGACACGGAGAGGAGGUGGACACAAAGGUGGAUGUUGACUUCAUAGGAGUCUCAAUAGUGCGCUCAUCAGUAAGAGCAGCACAAGCAAGAAGAUCUCAAGGAAGUAGCGAAGAGGAGCAAGAUCAUACAUAAGAAACUCAUUCUAACGAGCCUUCACAAAGGCAAUGUACUUCAUCGCCAGUCAUGAUCGACAUGUAGAAGUGUUCGACCACAUGUUGAAUGGUGGACCGAAAGUGCAGGAAAUAAAGAAGCCAUUAGAGGUAGAAGAAACCUCAAUCUCAAGGAAGUAGCGAAGAGGACCAACAUCAUACAUAAUAAAUUCACUCUAAUGAGCCUUCACAAAGACAAUUUACUUCACCGCCACUGAUGAUCGACAUGUAGAAGUGUUCGACCACAAGUUGAAUGGUGGAUCGAAAGUGCAGGAAAUAAAGAAGCCAUUAGAGGUAGAAGAAACCUCAAUCUCAAGGAAGUGGCGAAGAGGACUAAGAUCAUACACAAGAAAUUCACUAUGACGAGCCUUCACAAAGGCAAUGUACUUAGAGUCGUCGCCAGUGAUGAUCGAUAUGUAGAAGUUUUCGACCACAAGUUGAAUGGUUGACUAAAAGUGCUGGAUCAUGAGCACUUGCCAAAAACCAGCCGCAAUCACCACUGAGGCGAAGCGCGCAAACUAGGCACAAGGGGUUUGCUUAGAGCCAUAUAGAGAGUGAUGAAGAUGACAAACCAUGUCAUCAACAUUCUAACCUAUAAUGAGGCUCCCCAACUCGGCCUCUCGGUGCUCCCCCAGAUUGAAGCUUUGUUAGCCAUUUGAUAGAGCUACUUUUGGUCAACUGGUUCGUCACGGCCAUCAGAUUGUUCUGCCAGUUUUCACCGCACGGUUAGUUUUCAGUAUUAUGACCGGUGGGCUCGUUCUUUCUCCCUAUUGGCUGGGUGAGCCCUUCGUGGGUGCGAGCAACCCUGUCCUCGCACGCCACACGUCGUGCGGCUCGUCGUGGACGUCUCCGCUGAUGCAUGCAAACCCCAUUUGAACCCUGGCCUCCCACCACAACCACCACAUCCGUUCCUCCCCCUCCACCCCUCGUCCGCCAUCGUCCAUCUCCACCUCCUAUCCCGGCUCCUCUUGUGCCUCUUGUUUUCCUCCUCGCCUCCCCAUUGCUCGCCCCCUUGCGCGGAUUAGACGCAUGUCGCCGCCAUGGGAGACCAGGGCGACAGGGUCUUCACGGCGGGGGUGGAGUAGGGACGGUCAUUAGGCUAGUGGCGGAGGGAUGAAGCAGUGAGGCCUGAGUUCUAGGCGGUGCACACAUUGCGGACUCUAGACUCUUGUGUUGUUGAUUCGGUUUUGGUUCAGAUAGAAGAGCUCUAUGCUUACCAACUUUUGGGAUAGCCAAGGUAUGUGAUUGGUUUCUCCACUUCCACCCUAUGAUUUGCAAUUUCCCCAUAUGAUGCAUUGAUACCAUUUCAUUGUGUGAUUUUUCUGCAGGAAAUAAUCAUCGGGUUUUCAAGUGUAUGCAUCGUGUGUAAGCCCAGUUAGUGCUCCUGGUUUAUGAAUUUAAGAAUACAUUCUCAUCUCCCUGGUAUCUAUAUUCCAUUGUUUUAGAUUUAAAAGUGCUUUAGAUGAAAAAAAUUAGGCAACCUUUCCAUUUCAGGCAUCAUUUCUAAGUAUUAUGGCAUCCACGAAUUUCCCGAUAGUUUGUUCUGCACCAUGCUGCCUCAUGUAGGAUUUUGGCGCUCGUGAUCUACCUUAGGUGACCUGCUCCCAGUCCUUCCCUCCCCUCUGACCUCUCUCCCUCUCUGUAUGAUGUUUGAUUUGUGUUUUGGUUCAAAUUUGACAUGGCUUUCUGAUUGAUGCUUGGUUUAGAAAGGAACAAGUUCUAGAAUUGGUAGAAGUCAUAUGUCAUCCUUUGUAUUUUUUGUCAAGAUGAAUGCUUCAUAACAGGUGUAUGGAGGCACAAAAGUAGACUCAUAUAAACUGCAGUUGCAGUAUCAGCAAUAAGCAAGGGACGUAUCACAUGUUUCUAUCAAAACUGUGUAUAAAUUUAAGAGCUUAGCAAGAGAAUAGUAUCUCUGUUCCGGGAGAAAAAUUUAAGAGCUUAGCAAGAGAAUAGCAUCUCUAUAAAUUUUAGAGCUUAGUUUUUUGCAUAUGCAUGUAACAGCAACUCUUUUUUGUUCUGGUCUUAAAUAUCCUAUUCAUGAUACAGAAAUUUGCAUCAAGCUUACCAUGUUGAAUUUUGGUAAGGGCAAUCCCAUUGUUUAUGCAUCUUCUUUAACAAAGAACGAUAUUUGGUGUAUCAUCUGAGAUGUGCUUGAUUAAUGUCUUUCAGGCAAUGUGUGAUGCCAUUUGCAACCUUCUUGUUGAGCAAGCUGAAACAGGAGUAACUCCAUUAAUCAUUAUGUCACAUUGUAAUCCAUCACAAGAAUCAUCUCUCCUAUUUCAUUCACUGAAUUUCUGUACUGCUGAUGCUUACAUAUAUGUAUAUUUUGCUUCUGCUUGAUGUGUCUCGUGCCUGAUCCGGUAUUGAUGAUCUGUGUGGCUGAAAAAAAAAUACAUUGCCUGUGAAUUUGUCUAAAGAUGCAUUAUGAUAUCCAGCUGUGUUUGCAUGUUGGGUCAUGUUAGUAAUGUGCUUUGAAAUUAUUUCCCCUCGUCUCAGUUUUGUUUUUCUUUAGGCAAUAUUAUGGUAUAAAUAUACGUGUAUUUUUUAGGCAAUAUUAUGGUAGCUGCAGGAGUGGGCGGUACUCAGCUGCCAACAGGCGCUGAUGACGGUGGCCGAGCUAGACCCCGUCAGGGACAGGGCGCGCAUGUAUGUCGAGGCGCUCCAGAGCAGCGCGUGGGGCAGUUGUCUCUGGUCGCUUUAGUUUUGCUUCUGAGCCAUUAUCGAUUUCCCAUUUCUUUCUUCUGCACUAGAAGAUUGACCGUGUUGGAGGCUGUUAAUCACAGCGACGUCCUGAUGGAGUCGUUAGAUUGUCCGAUGACCAAACCAGUUGCCGAGCAAACGUUGUCGCCGAUGCAGGAGCUGAACGCCGAAGGGCAGAUCUGUGAGGCGCAGGGGGCAGCGGCUGCGGAGGGAGGAGGUUCACCAUGGGCAUCCAAGUAGUCGAUUGGCAAGAUGAAUCCUGAACCCCCUGGCUGGACCCAAAGACUUCUUGGAAAGGAAACAGGUUGCAAGUUCAUCUGUAUCACCCAAAUCAAGAGAGGCAAUUAAUGUUUGCAAGAAAAAGAAAAGUUUGCAAGGAAAGAGAAGACAAUGGAACAUCAGGCCAUUUCUGUGAAAGAAUGCAAGUUUAAAGAGAUUAAUGACCUGAAAGCCCAAACGAACCAAGGGUACUCUAAUAUGGCUCGAAGGCUGAAACCAGUGAAGCAGAGCCGUGGCUCGGGGCAUCAACGUCCAUGCCGGUCCAUGGAUCCGGAAACUUGCUUUCCGUGAAUUGCGACAGCAACCGAGUUAAUGCACGGAUGGGGUGCAGGAUACAAUUAUCUCCUACCUCAGGCGCGUGGAUCCUUCCAGGGAGAGCGGUGGCCUCGGCGGACAAACUUUUGUACGAAACAAGAAGUACAACCAUGCUGAAAGAGGUGACUGAGAGCUCCGAUGGAGCCUCUGCACUACCCAGUCGUCGCACUGGUUAUGGAACAGCUGGCGCCCAUGAGGAAAGUGAGUGCUGACGGGGAGAUCUGUCCGGCGGAGGCGGCGACGAAUGCAUUCGCUGCAAGGAUCUGAGCAGCCGAUUAAGCAGGACGACCCGAAAGCUCCUGGGGUGGACGCGAAGAGUGAGGAUUGGUGCUGCCGCAUCAGGCAGGAUGUUGUGUCCUAAUCGAGCUAAUGCACUCGAGAAGGCGAUUUGCGGUUUUGCCGAAAAUCCUGAAGACAAUUUGAUUGUUUCAAAAUUGGGUACAAGCUUUGAUCUGCUCGCCGCAAUCCUGGCAGGGAAUCACUGGCAACGGCAGAUGAGGAAGAGGUAGACAUCGGGUAGUGGAAGAGCACCGUCGAUCUGGUUUCUCUUAAUGGACUGCAGAUGAGUGGCCGAUCUGGCCGGAGUUGGAUUUAGCCGGUGAGAAAGGAGGCUAGACGUGCACUAGAAGAUUAGUAACUGCAACGGUGACAAUAAAUAAAUAAAAUUGAGUGGUAUGACAAUUUCUUUUGAGGAAUAUGACAAUAAAUAAAUGGGUUGGCAGUGUUGUAGUCCAAAAUCUCUCCGUUCACGGCCCAUUUUCAUGACUGACUUCCGAACCGGUCCUACAGUGUCUUACGGGACCUCCUAUGUGACGCAUUUUGCGUCAUACAGCA